GGCCGGACUCCGCUGAGCACGCCAGUCCGCGGCGCAGCCUCAGGGGCCGGUCUAUCACGAAGCUGCGGACGCCCUGGAGAGGGUGAGGAAGUGAAGAUUUGUACGCUAAGUAAUCUUUGAUCAAGAUUUGUAGCAUUCAGGAGUUUUGGCAGGGUUGGGGGGAGAGCGGACCUGAGCUUGGAAACAGCAUCUAAGAGGAAUGAAGGAAGCAGGACUUGGCAGAAGAAGUUGAAUUGUGAUACUGCAACAGAGUUCUCAGCGGUCCUAGAUGACUUUCAGAGCUGUGCCUGAAGACCAGGGCCCUCUGCCCCCCACACUGUGCCAUCUCCAUCUAUCCAUCUACAGUCAUCGGAUGCAGGCUGCUCCCACGGAGGAGACCUAACUUUGGACAAGGUGGUCUUCUUCCUCUGGAGGCAAUUUCUGGACAGGACUCAGCUGAGAACCACCCACAGUCUCAGCAUCUGGAGGUACUGAAGUAUUUGAGCAUACUGCAGCAUAUACCAAAGUGAGUUUAUAACCACCAAAUGAUUUUUUUCCUCGCAAUGGGAUUAAGCAUGUGACUCCUGCUUGUUUUGGUUGAAGGAAGACAUAAUAGAAACAACAACUCCAGGAAAAAUUCAAACUUUUUUUCUCAGAGCACCUCAGAAAUUGCA